UGUAAUGGUGCCAUUGCACUCCAGCCUGGGCAACAAGAGUGAAACUCCAUCUCAAAUAAUAAUAAUUAUAAUGGGACAGGGCAAUGUACUUGGGGGAAGCUUGCAGUUGUCUAGCGCUUUCUGCACCUGGGUCGAUGGGUCUGUAAAGUUUUGUGUAUGGAGUAUCAGGAAACCCAUUGUUACCGUAUAUUAGCCCACAUUCUUCAAAAUCAGCUUUAUUGGUAAUAAAGGCAUUACUUGAUUCUAUCUGCUUGCUUUUUGUUUUGUCUCAGUUUAUUCUGAAUUUGGAGAAGGUACUGAGCUCCUUCAAACACCAACAUAGCAGCCAGAGACAGGCAUUCUUGGAAGAGAAAAUGGGCCCAGGAGACAGCAGUGGUGGAGCAGUUUUUCAUGGCCACACAGCUCGAAGUCUGCAGAUUUGGGUACCCUACCUGGGAAAAUUAAUUUUUGAGCAAGAAGUAUCAUUUGAAACUGUGCAGCCCAGUUUCAUGAUUUUACGGAUGGCCUAAGAUGGGUAAGUUCUCUUUAGCCCUGAGUUUUCUGACAUGCCAGAAAUAUUUUCCUCCUCCUUCUUUAUAUGGCUGCCAUAUCUUACCUUUAAGGUCUCAGCUGAAAGCUGAAAUGUUAAAUGUCAUGACUUUAAAAAGACCUUCUCUGACUCUCUUGAGAAAAAUAUUUGUCCUUUUUCUAUCACUGCAUUUUCUUGAUUUUUCUUCCUGGAACUUCACAUAUGAAUCACAAUAUGCUGCAUUCUUACUUAUUUUCUGCCUUUUCUGCUACACUGUAAGGUACAUGAAAGCACGGUUGGUGAUGUGAUGCUUACCACUAUGUACCCAGUGCCCCAGCAAGAUGCUUGGUACUGUGUAGGCACUGGGUUUGAGAGCUGAGACCAGAACAUACCUUCUUUCCUUGCACACGCGCACGCACACCCCUACCCCUGAGAUAAAUCAGCACCAUUGUUUACUUAAAAUUCUUGAUCAUGUGAUUGCCAUUACGUUUUUGCUGGUGGUGUUGCAGCUUUAGUCUGCAUGGGAGUUCUUAUGUUUGUGUUAUGUGGAAGAAACUAGUGCAGGCAUGCAGAAAUCAUUAGCUAGAGGGCCUGGAAGCAGAGUGAUCACUUUUUACUUCUUCCAAAAAGGAAAUUUAGGUUCUGAAAGUGGAAAAUGCAUGGUAAGCUAAAGAAUUGGCUUGCAGAACAAUAGGUAGGCAUACUUAUGGAAUAAGCUGAAACCAGUUACUGUAAGAACCUGGUUGCAAUAAGAAAUUAUGCUGAGUCAUAGUUUGCAACUGUGGUGGAAAAUAGGAUCGCCUAUAGAGCUUCUGAAACAUACUGAUGCCCUGGCCUUCCCUAGGAUCCAUUGGAUCAGAAACUCCAGUGAUGGGCCCUGGGCAUGUAUAUAUUUUAAGCUUGCCACUUGUCAUUCUGUUGAUUCUGUCGUAUACCAGAAUUUAGAACAAACUAGAGAAUGAACUUUGGUCGUGGAUAACCAAAUUUGUGUUUGGUGUGUUGAGUAUUUUCUUUUGAAAAUCAGUAAGCUAGUCACUACAGUGGCUGAGAGAUUAUGCAUGAUAUUUAAUUUUAUUGAUUGCUAUGAUUUAACCAUGUCCCCAAAAUGCGUAGGUUGAAAACUGAAUCCCUAAUGCAACAGGAUAGGGAGGUGGGGCCUAAUGGGAGGUGUUUAGGUCAUGAGGAAUCCACCAUCAUGAAUGGAUUAAUGCUGAUUAUAAACGGGCUUGAGGCUGCAAGUUCUAUUAUAUUGUGUGCUCUCUCUCCCUCUCUUGCCCUUCUGCCUUCUGCCAUGAGACGAUGCAGCAAGAAGGCCAGAUGCCAACACCUUGACAUUGGACUUCCCAUCCUCCAGAACUGUUCCAGACAAAAACACUUUUUCACAAUUGUAAGCAAGACCAACAAAUUUGUUCUUUUAUGGCCCUUACUAUUUUCCUAAAGAGAAAGACAAUAAACACACAAGUAAACAAGAAGAUAUCAGAUAUUAACAUCUACGGUGAAGAAAUUACAGCAGAAUGAUAAAAGGAUACAUCUAGAUGCAUCAAAUGACUUGUCUGAGGCUAUAUUGCAAGUAAAUUGACUCAGCUCCUAUGAAUCCAAGUCCACUGCUAUUUCAUGUAAGAGGCCUGCUUCUUUCAGGAUGUCAAGCUCUAAAAGGGGAGGAGAUCUGAGGAUACUUCUACUGUAAUCAUCAGAGGUGAAACAAGUAUGAGUUGGAAACGGUGAGAACAUGGGAGAAUGAGCAUGACAACUUUGCAACAUACAUGAGAAACUACUUCCUGGGAAUGAAGGAUAAAAUGUAUAUGGUAUUCUUUAGCAUGGUGAAAGGUCUGAAUUUUGAUCACUGUUUUAUUCUCAGCAAUUGUAACUGGUCAGUAAUAGCAGUGGGGCAAUUGACUGAACACUGGACGUAAGAGUUAAGACCAGGAUUUGCAUCUCAUUUCUAUUACUUGUUUCAUGAUAUGUGACAAGUAUGCUUUGUGUCUCUGAAUCUUGGGCCCUUGUCUGUAAAAUGGGGUGAUAUAGUGCUUUCCUCAGAUUUCUUGGAAAACUUAAAUUAUGUUUUUUAUAUGAAAUAGCCUAGGACACAGUGGUUACAGAAUAACUGUCAAAUUUCUUAAGAAUUUGGGAGGCAAUUAAAAGUUAAAUAAGGAUUUUAUAACUUCAAAAGGUCUUUUGUCUAGUUAAAAUGGAAAUAGAAGGAUUUAGUGUUAUUUACAAUAUAUUUUAUUAUCUGUUCAGAGUUAAUAAAAAUUAUUUAACUACAUCAGCUCCCUCUUUGCAAUUGUCCCAAAGGGAGAAUUAUACACAGCUAGUGAAUGCCUCACCUAAAAAGGAAAAAAAUCCCAAAGCCUUGGAAAGUGGAACCUUCUUAAAAGAAAAGUACUAUAGAUACUUAGCUAAUUCUUAGGAUUUAGAGAAAAGGAAGGAGAGUGUGAAUGAAGUGAAUUUCUUUAUUGGCGACUAGCUGAAGUACAGAACUCCGUGCAAAGUUGAGACAAAGUGACUUUGCACCAUCAAUCUCUUGGUAGCGUAGAAGACAAAAUGAGAGGAAAAAGUGCAGUAGAAUUAGGGUCAUUUCUUCUUCACCUAGGGUCUGAAACAUUCAGAGAAUAUGGAAAACAGAGGAUUUUCUUCUCCUAAAAGACUCCAUCAGGCUCUCAAAUGAAGUUUUGUUUCUCUAAUUCCAUUCUACCACUAGACUAUUUUAUUUUCGUUUGGGGAAAACAAUAAAACUUGCUGGUAACUAAGGAGCAUUCCCGGCACUCAGUUCCUGCUGGGAAGACAGUACUGGGGCUCAUCUAUGGGGAGAGAACUCAUGCUCCCUUCUGAGCACUGACUGCCAGGCUCCCAGUUAAUAUUUCUCAAAAGAGGAGGAAGCUAACUUUGUUUUUUGGCUAUGUAUUCUCUACAGUAGCACCAAUAUCUCUUUAUAGAUUAGCAAUUUAACAGUAACAACCCCCGCCCCCCUCAACCAACCUCCCUGCCAAAAAAAAUCAGAUAGUACUUCUGGCAUUGGCAACUUAAAUGAAAGUUAACUUAGAGAUACGGUCUGAUUUGAAUGACUGAGAGUAAGAUUCUAAAUCUUUAGCUUUGGCUCAGUUGAGUCUAAACUGCUGAGAGAUUUGGUAGAUCAGGAGUUGGGCAUAUAAAGAGAUCAUCCAGUUGGGGUCCAUGACCAAGGCAUAACUCUUGUAAAUUGGGGUUAGCUAGCCUAUUGAGAGCUUUCAAUGAUGUUUUGUUUCUCUGAUUCUAUUCUACCACUAGACUAUUUUAUUUUCGUUUGGGGAAAACAAUAAAACUUGUUUGUAACUAAGGAGCAGUCCAGCACUCAGUUCCUGCUGGAAAACAGUAUACUCACAAUGUAACCAUGCAAGAUUCUGCAUGCAGGAAAGUGCAAGCUCUGCUGCCUUUAAGAUCCUUGUGCCUUAGACACAGACAUGAGUUUACCAAGAACUGGGAUAAAGUCUCAUUGAUGUUUUCCUUUUUUGGACACUUAUCCUAUGUCCUGAUUAUAGUUAGGCCCUUUUACUCAUUCAAUAACUGCCAAUGGGAAAAGAAUAUUUCCCAUUGCAAUAAAAAUGAUGCAGUUGAAAUUAGUUUUUCAGUUUGGGUACUAGCUUGACUUCGUCUAUCCAAACUGUCUCUCCAUGUCCUCAUGUGUUCUAGCUGCUUAUAAUUUGGAAGAUGGCUAAAUAAAUAAAUAAAUAAGGAAAGGUCCAGAGUAAAACUGCCAAGCAAAGUUGGCUCUUCUGUCUGAGAAUUGAACUUCAACAUAAGUAGCCCUAAUCUGUUGAAUUACCCACCACAAAAGUCUCAGUUGAGCUCAUUUUUUGUGUGUAGGAAAUUCAUUCACAGAGCUUGUUUACAGUACAGAGUCUUGGUCCUCAUUCCUAGAGAUUUUGAUUCAGUGGAUCUAAGGUAGGAUUCAAGAAUCUGUACUUUUAAUAAUCACUAUUCGUGGCUCAUACUCAGAUGGUUCUUGGACCAAACUUUGGUGAAUGAAGUCUGAGUCAUUUGAAUUAACCAGAGGAGACUAGUCAGGGUGCUGUGAGGAAACAAAGCUUUACAUUCCUUCUAAGGGAAGAGAGGUGAUGAGACAGGGAUACUGGGGGUAGAGAGAGGCAGUGAGGAAACAAAACUGGCUAAGUGUGUGUAGUAUUGAUUGCUGUAUUCACAUAUCCUGGGAAAUAUAUGAAAAUUUCCUUUAACCAACAGAUAACCACUACCCAGUGGGCAUUUAGGACUGUGGGCCACACAUAGUUUGGAGGUUAGAGGGGACAAGAGCAUGGACUCUAGGACCAGCCUAAGUUUGACUUUUGGCUCUGCCAUUUAUUUGCUGUGUGACUCUGGCAAAAUGAUUUAAUCGCCAAGUGGUUUUGUUCCCCUCAUCUGUAAAAUGGGAAUGAAAAUGGUAUUUGUCUCAUAGAGUUGUGAAAAUGAAAUGAAUGAAUAUAAGUAAAAGUGCUCAGAACAGUAUCUGCUUAGAAAGUGCUAGAUGGGGUGUGCCCAAGAUCGCUGAAUAGUAA